rnacentral:lncRNA from 1 species
CCCUGGGCUCGAUGCCGUGACACAGGAAACAUCUGGGAGUUUUCGCCGGGCGUUUGGGAAAGUACUCACUUCCGAACUCGGCGCUAAGGAAGCAGUUGGAGGCUCCACCGAGUAGGCCUUUCGGGAGCAGAAUCUACUCCAGGAAGGCGCUGUGAAGAUAGGUGGGCGAUGGAGACCUGAGCCCAGAAGCUGCAACUUGCCGGGGACCGAGAGCUGGUGGUGAGCCAAAACCAAAACCAGGAACAACCCCUAAAAGUGCUAAAUAUGUGUUUUCCUGCACUCCUGAGGAAAGAGGGGGGAAGGAACAAUCCAUAAUACACAUCCCAGGUAGGAACAUGAUCACCACCCUCAUGG